CGCGGAGAAUAAUCACGAUCCAAAUGAGCUAAUUUGUAAAUUUUGCGACUGCCGUCCUCCUUGCGACGCGGCCUCCCCGCCCUCCCCUCCGAGCGCAGGCGGCAGACACCCGGCGUCUAUAGCAAACGCACGACCCACGGGAGUCGCAUUGGCUUCCGGUGCACCUGCUCCGGUUCCGAAUGGAUAUCCUGUUCGGGGCGGAGAGCUCCAGGUAUUCGCCAUCUUGGCAGAGGACGGCGGCCGAUGGCAGCGACGCUACUAAGGACAGAACGGAUGGUGGGAGGCAGCAGCCGGCAUUGGAGGAGGAGAGGGUGGAGACGAUCUGGAAGAAGAUGCUGCCCUCCAUUGGACUAGAAAGAGGUUUCAGAAGCGCCCCAGGAGAUUUCAUAAUCAUGCAGCUUCAUCUCUUUCCAGUGUCCUUCACUUUCUCUCUUGGGACCAAGUCACAUCAUUUUCGCCGUGCAAUUCUCCAUGGUGGCGCAAAAUAUAGAGCAAGUGGCAGAGUUUUGUUCGCUUGUAAGGUUUACUGAGAAUUACGGAAUGUACUCAGGAAGCCACUUUUUUGAAAGGGCUUGAGAUGAUGUUACUGUUAGUAGUCUAUCAGUUGUCUGGUGAUGCUGCUGCAGAUUCAACUGCCUAUAUACUUC